UACGUAGGGUGCAAGCGUUAAUUGGAAUUACUGGGCGUAAAGCGUGCGCAGGCGGUUCUAUAAGACAGAUGUGAAAUCCCCGGGCUCAACCUGGGAACUGCAUUUGUGACUGUAGAGCUGGAGUACGGUAGAGGGGGAUGGAAUUCCGCGUGUAGCAGUGAAAUGCGUAGAUAUGCGGAGGAACACCGAUGGCGAAGGCAAUCCCCUGGACCUGUACUGACGCUCAUGCACGAAAGCGUGGGGAGCAAACAGG
rnacentral:rRNA from 1 species